GUUUCCCUUCUCUAAAGUUGUUCUUUAUUCUAUGGCUCGCACGCGACGCUUUGAAGUUGGUGAAAAGGAGACGAAAAGUUGCGAGACCUGCUUGCAAGACCAAUUUCACAGGACCGGACCAGGGAGAAAAGUCACACGAGCGCCACGAAGACUAAUGACCACUCCCAGGAAUCUACCUGCUACGAACUAAGGGUUCGUCACCUCUAAGGGGAAUUCUGCUACCGAAACGCCGAUCCCUCGUACAGCGGCUGCUGGCCCCUACAUUUCGGGAUCUUCCUCCCCCGCCGGAGAUGCUGUUAGAGUUGGCGUCUGGCACCGCGUGCAGAGAAGAAUUUCAACCGACCUUCUUCCACCAGACUUCGUCGAAAUGAAGCGUGACUUCCUAAUUCGCCAUGACCGUUUCGAGUGUCUGCCGGAAGCCCUGCAGCGUACAGGCCUCUUAUAUGAGUGUGGGUGUGCGAGUUGAGAGACCCUUUCCUUGAAUUGGACCUAGAGGAGAACUUCCACGAACCCGCAACGCGCAGAAGAGACGGACAGGCGUCUACAAUUCCAGGUGGCGUGACGAACUCCUCUCUGCAGCAAGCUCGGUAUAACCAGAGGAGGCGGGGCCCCCCUUUCUGUGCCGGUCACGUGACGUCGACGGAGAUCUCCUCCUCUGUGUUCUCCUGACCAAUGGAAGUCACUCCCUGCUCAGCUCGGCGAGCAAGACCUUGAACUUCAGGAUGUGCUACCUCAUUGGGGUAGAUUGCGGGAAUGUCUGUCUGAAUUUUUUUUCCUCGGCGUUUGGGGAAUUUUGCAGAGGAAAUUUACUUCUCCUGGAAAGUGUCAAUUGUCGGCAAUUUUACUAUUAUUAUUAAGUAUUGUUAUUAUUACUAUUAGUUAUUAAGAAUGUUGGAGGGAAACGCACAAAAUUGUGUAAUGUUGGCAAUUAGUUUCUCCAUCACCACAGCACUGCAGCUCAUUGCUUUGGCUAUGACGUGGUAUUUUACCUCAGGGAUGGGCUUGAGUUCCCCAUGCACCCUCUUCACCGGGCUGAAGUUCCUGUGAUUUUUUUUUUAAUACUUAAGGAACCUAUAACAAAGGUACAAGAUUUACAGCUGUGCAACAAGGUGAAGACAAUGUCGCAGGGGCCACUAAACAGCUAUAAUUGAGCUCUAGAGUUGCUUCGAACAGUGGGGAAAAGGUUGGACAAGUGUAUUGACUCUGUUUUGAAAGCAACUCGUUUUCCUUUUUUUGUGGGGGGGUCUCGACCCACGAAUUGACGACCGGAUUGGUGAAAAACCUGUCACCGAAACUGUUCCAGGAAGAUAAAGCGCUUCUGCUUGCAGAUAUGAAGCUUUUCUUGAAUUGUAAACUUUAUGAGUGCAUUCUGUGCAUUCUCAGCAACUGUUUCAUCAUCAAUCAACGGAGUAGAAUCUGCGAAAGUACACAGCUCUCCGCAUUCUCUACAAGCACAUCUGCCCGUCUUUCCGUCAAUUCCUGCUUCCUACCACGGCCAUCCACUUCUUCGCAUGUCACUUUCCCGGCACUCGUAACACGCAGAACUUUUGGGUUUGGUUCUGUAGCCCAGUACAUUCGACGGUCUCCCUGCAAACAUGUCGGAAGUGCACUAUCGGCGUAUCAAACUGAAUACCACCUCGCGUGUACCCAUGAUUGACACGUCACCUAUCUUGCAGGGACUUGUUACAACUUACCCGUUACAAAGUGUGCACCACAAACUCAUACGAUGAAGCUCAAUGCAUCAAAAUUAAUAUGCUCUAUCCGUGCAAGCCACAAGCUGCGCUGUCUUGCACUCAGGUUCGCAUGUUCACAUUGGUAUUCCACGACUUUCGGCUGGCUAAAAAGUUUGCGGUGUGUUCACAUAAGUUUAACCGGGUAGGUACGGUGCCCAUUCUUAAUUUUAAUAAAAAAAUAUAUAUUUUGCCUAGCAAUACGAAAUAAAUCUUAGUGUUGCGAGAAAAAUAAAUCUGUUUUCACAAAAAAAAAUAUGGAAGCAGCCGGUCAGUCAUAAGUGCUUUUUGUGAAUUGUGCCGAAUCUGCAUUUUGAUCAGCUCCCAAAGAAACUGUGUUGUGGCUAUGGUUCUAAACAUAUCCAGUAGUACAGUACGAGUCAAUAGCACUGAUUCUAAUUAUUACAAAGUAAGACUGCUAUGAUGGGGAGAAAAAGAUGGUAAAAAUGGAAAUUGCACAAUAUUGGCCAAAGUCGAGACUUUUUUUUCUCUGUAUCUGUGAGGAGCACAGUUUUCACAUUUUCUCAGCCUGCCAUGAAAGUUGUUGAAAUUUGAAGCAAACAUCUUUGCCCUAGAUUGCACUGAAAAUUCACAAGAAGUGCUCAAGUUUAAACCUGUUGUUAAAUUAGCACUACUUUUAAAAAUAUCUUUAAAAGAAAAGGCCAUCAUCGAGUUUCUUAAAAAUUUCCCAAAUUGAGUUUAUUGAACUAAACUAAUGUAAUCUGGAAAAACAUGUUGCAUCAUUUGUUUUCUUUCGGAAUUACAAAGCGAUAAAUUUGACGAAGAAACAGUACCGCCGCUGCGACAUAGGGUGUCCGUACGUGCUCAUGGUUGCAGGUUCCUUUCUUUUGAGAGAUAAAAAUGUUCCAGGACGGUUCACAAUGCGAGGAUUGACAAAACAGAAAAUUUUGGGGUGAUAACACUUGGCGCAUUAUUGAACAGAAAUCGCAAAAUCAGUUCAUGGGUGCAGCAACAAAACGUUGGGGCAUUGUCACAUGGUUUGGAGCGCUUGCUCCAAGAGGAGUUGCAUGACCCCUUCAAUUUAAAUAUUCCAUUACCUACACUGACGUUCUUAAGUUAAGGCUCAAAUGUGUUGGAAAUCUCUACCAUGUGCACUUAUAUAAAGGACACACUGCUUCAGGAUAGUGUGCCACAGUGUCAGCCAUAAUGUCAAGGUUUCUAUUGCAAAUAUAGCUGUAAUGGAAAACUACUUCUUUUUUUUAGCUCCUGCUGCACACAGCUUCUUUAACCUAUGGCAGCGCACACCUGCUGCUAACCACGAGGAAAAACCUUAAUUAACAUGAGAUUACACAUCACCCUUCUUUCUACACAAUUAAGGCUAACACAAAGCCAGAACUGCUGAAAACACUUUAUUUAGUAGUGCUCACUAGAGAGAGGAGUCUAUGACAGCACUCAUCUCCAUUAAAAAAGAGAAAAUCUCCAAAAUCCAUGCAAAAAAUGUGUGUGGCAUUUGUUAAGUAGACAGGAAAACGUGGCACACUGUGUAUGGUUUAUACAACAUCCUUGUCUUAUGGCACAAAACAAUGCCUUCAUAAAUAGUGACAAUGGCAAUAGGUGGUCUCCCUUUGAGAGACUGUGCUUCAAACUGAGCACGAGCAACACACCUUGCAAUGUGCCAAGAACAGGAUAACAAAAAAAAAAACCACCAAUGUGAAGGGCAAGUAAAUAUAAUGCCUCUACUAUUAGGUACAAUGCCCUUUUUUAACCAACCUGAGCAAGCAUGCAAGAAAACAACUCGGAAAAAACUCAGGCCACGCUCGGUGCAGUGAAAGAUGUGCUUGUAGUGAAAACAACAUGAAUGCAGGUGCAUCCUGAAUCAGCCACCUUUUUUGACAUUAAAGCGACUAGG